rnacentral:rRNA from 1 species
GACGAACGCUGGCGGCGUGCUUAACACAUGCAAGUCAAACGGUAAGGCCCUUCGGGGUACACGAGUGGCGAACGGGUGAGUAACACGUGGGUGAUCUGCCCUGCACUUCGGGAUAAGCCUGGGAAACUGGGUCUAAUACCGGAUAGGACCUUUGCCUGCAUGGGUGGGGGGGGAAAGCUUUUGCGGUGUGGGAUGGGCCCGCGGCCUAUCAGCUUGUUGGUGGGGUGAUGGCCUACCAAGGCGACGACGGGUAGCCGGCCUGAGAGGGGGACCGGCCACACUGGGACUGAGAUACGGCCCAGACUCCUACGGGAGGCAGCAGUGGGGAAUAUUGCACAAUGGGCGCAAGCCUGAUGCAGCGACGCCGCGUGAGGGAUGACGGCCUUCGGGUUGUAAACCUCUUUCAGCACCGACGAAGCGCAAGUGACGGUAGGUGCAGAAGAAGGACCGGCCAACUACGUGCCAGCCGCCGCCGUAA